UGCCACUAGGAGAUGCAAGCAUCACUGUGUUGCCAAAACAGAAAGUGCUAAAAAGUACACUCGUCUUCUUCAAUGGACGGCUUUGUUAUAAAGCCAGCUACAUGCACACCUCAGCAAGCCAAUGUCCUGACUGAGUCCAUUCUGAAGAUGCUGGUGACRGACAUGAGACCACUAUCCAUGGUAGACGAUGAAGGAUUUAAAGACAUGAUUAAACAGUUCAACCCGGAUUAUCAUGACAACUACCUACCAGGCAGAUCUCACUUCACCACACUGAUGGAGAAGAAAUAUUGUGCAACUUUUGAAAAGGUAAAGGAGACUCUCAGGGGUGUCGAAGGUUCCCCCACGCUGACUGCUGAUGUGGGGGCCAGUCGUGCAACAGAGGCUUACCUUGGUGUGUCUUGCCAUUUCCUGAGCUAAGAUUGGAAGAUGAAGGCCUUAAAUCUUUCUACCAUGCCUCUUGAGGAGAGGCAUACAGGUGCAAAUAUAAUGACAUGGACUGAAGAGGUUUUAACAAAGUUUGAAAUCUUGCCGACCAAAAUAAAAGCAGUGGUGCAUGACAGUGGUUCCAAUAUGGUGGCAGCAAUGCGACUGCUUGAAGAGAAAUAUGGAUGGGCCUCUAUUCGCUGUGCUGGGCACACACUCCAGCUUAUAGUCAACACUGCUCUCAAAGAAACCACCAUCAGCAGAGCACUAGGUGCUGCUAGGCAGCUAGUGGAGUACUUUAAAAGAAGUAAGCUGGCUAGUACAAAGCUAAAGAUGAAACAGGAGCAAAUGAUUG